rnacentral:rRNA from 1 species
AUUGAACGCUGGCGGCAGGCCUAACACAUGCAAGUCGAGCGAGCGGCGCACGGGUGAGUAAUGUCUGGGAAACUCCCUGAUGGAGGGGGAUAACUCCUGGAAACGGUAUCUAAUACCCCAUACCAUCAGAUGUGCCCCGAUGGGAUUAGCUCGUGGGUGGGGUAACGGCUCACCUCGGCGACGAUCCCUCGCUGGUCUGAGAGGAUGACCCGCCACACUGGAACGGAGACACGGUCCAGACUCCUACGGGAGGCAGCAGUGGGGAAUAUUGCACAAUGGGCGCAAGCCUGAUGCAGCCAUGCCGCGUGUGUGAAGAAGGCCUUCGGGUUGUAAAGCACUUUCAGCGGGGAGGCGUUACCCGCAGAAGAAGCACCGGCUAACUCCGUGCCAGCAGCCGCGGUAAUUC